UACGGAGGGUGCUAGCGUUGUUCGGAAUUACUGGGCGUAAAGGGCGCGUAGGCGGCCGUUUGCGUCGGAUGUGAAAGCCCGGGGCUCAACCUCGGAACGGCAUUCGAUACGGGACGGCUGGAGACCAGGAGAGGAGAGUGGAAUAGCCAGUGUAGAGGUGAAAUUCGUAGAUAUUGGCUGGAACACCGGUGGCGAAAGCGGCUCUCUGGCCCGGUUCUGACGCUGAGGCGCGAAAGCGUGGGGAGCAAACAGG
rnacentral:rRNA from 1 species